AUAAUAAUAAGACAUCUAGUGCAAUAAUAUUAAAAGUUAUCUGAAGACCAGCUGACCACGUCGCUACAAUGUCCCCAAUGGGACUAACUAGCGACGUCUUUUGAGUACGUGCCCACUACGUUUCUGGGAAGUUAGCCAAGAUUUUAAAAAAUGGAACUUUACCACGACGUCCUCACGUCCUCACUGCCAUAAAGUAAUGUCGCGCUGACCAAAUGACGACUAACUGGCGACGUCCUCACAACGUUCUGUGUUUGCUGGGAAGACACGGUGGUAUGUGAAAAACACUUCACACCGGACAGCUACAACCAAGGAGAUCUUAUGGAAUUUCGCAUGGGAUUUCGACGAAAAGAGUGGAUUAGGCUGGCAAAUGGAGCUGUGCCAUCGGUGCAUGCAGGUCCACCUGCAAAAUCUGGCGGGAGUGAAGAGUCUAACGUUAAUGUUAGCACUAGGAGAGAAUCUGCGCGUCGAAAAAGGGAGCUUUGCACAAUUUUGGGAGAGAGUGCUGCCAGCAAAGACGGGGGCGGUGCAACUGGCACUUCAGAUCCUGAAGAUGAUGGAGAUGGAGACAUCUCUACAGUGGACCCUGAGCCAGAAGUGGUCCAUCGUGGAUCACAGUGCAACAUAAGAUGUUUACAUCGUUCAUUAGGUGUUCAGGUAAAGCCUCAGAUGGUGGAUCUGGGGACUCAAACCGAAAGGUUUGAGCAUCGCAGAUCAACUCCACUGGCCAGUCCUGAACAAAGUGAUGAUGAAUGGUCAUUUUCUGAUAUCAUCAAUCAUUCUGGUGAUAUGUCAUGGAGUCCAGGGGAGGAGAUGUUGAGCGAGUCCUCUGAGGAGGAACCAGAAGAGCUGGAAUCUCUCACUGACCCAAAGUAAAAACCUUUUUAUUAAUGGAAACUGUUUCUGAUUGUGUAUCAAAAAAUGUCAUAGUCAGAAUUAAUGUGUGUUUUCCUUUUCUUGUUUUCAGUGCUGUUGACAAGUUCAUUGUUUGCCAGAGGCAUUUGCUGUCCUUGUUCACGGUUUGCUCUGCAUGCUGCGGGGAAACCCAGGGACACAUAAUGCACCCGGAAGGAACUUUCAUAAAAGUCAAGCAGGCCUGCGGAACUUGUGGUUAUGAGCGUUACUGGCAAAACCAAGAGAAGGUGCAUCGAAACAUGCCUGCCUGCAACCUUUUACUCAGCGGUGCCAUCCACUUCUCAGGUUGCAUGGCUACUCAGACAAUCAGGAUGCUGAAGCUGUUUGGACUGCAGUGCAUAAGUCCCGGGACUUUUUUUCUGCCAUCAGCGCUAUUACACUAUCCCUACCAUCAUGCAGGCCUGGAGGACUGAGCAGAGGGGGAUCAUCAGGGAGUUGAAGGAGACUGGGGGUGGAUUGAUCCUGUCUGAUCAGAUUCUCCUGGACACUGUGCCAAAUACGGUAGCUACUCCUUGAUUGAGGAUCGAAUUAACAAAGUUUUGGAUGUUCAGCUUGUCCAAAGCUCAGAAGUCCCAAGCAGCUCUUGGUGUGAGCUAGAGGGUCUAAAGCGGAGUAUGCAGUUCCUGAUGGACCAAGACAUGCAAGUAUCUGCUCUGAUAACAGACAGAAAUCGGCAGGUGGCCAAGUGGGUACGUGAGAAAAUGUGUUCAGAAGGAACAAGGCAUUUCUUUGACGUCUGGCAUAUUGGGAAAAGUGUACAGAAAGCACUGGAUGCUGCUGCAAAAGAGAGGGACUGUGAGGAUCUGAAGCUGUGGAGGCCAGCCAUCAUCAACCAUCUCUACUGGACCGCAGCUUCCACCCCUACAGGAGAUCCAGAUGAGAUGCAGGCAAAAUGUACAGGACAUACAUGAACACAGCACUCCUGCAUUUGCCAGCUGCGCACAUCCACCGUUGGAAGGAGAGGCAAGAAACAAGGAGUGGCUGGAACCAGGAUCACCAGCACCCACUAAACUGGAGAGUGUAGCUGCCAGGAAAGCACUGGUAAAGGAUAUUCGACAAUUGUCACAUCAGCAUCAGACAUUCUCCCUGGAGGCCUACCAUUCCCUCAUUCUGCACUUUGCUCCCAAACACAC